GGCUCAAUGGUCUAGUCGUAUGAUUGUUGCUUCGGGAUUCAUCCCCUGUUCUCAAAGAACAGAUGCUUGAAUGUGACAGGUCCCGGGUUCAAAUCCCGGUUGAGCCCU
rnacentral:tRNA from 1 species